UCGAGAAUCUUUCGCAAUGGGCGCAAGCCUGACGAAGCGACGCCGUGUGAGCGAAGAAGGCCUUCGGGUUGUAAAGCUCUUUCGCUAGGGAACAAGAGAUAUAGGAUAAUACCCUAUAGAUUUGAUGGUACUUGGUAAAGAAGCACCGGCUAACUCCGUGCCAGCAGCUGCGGUAAUACGGAGGGUGCAAGCAUUGAUCGGAAUUACUGGGCGUAAAGGGCGCGUAGGCGGUUAUAAAAGUCGGAUGUGAAAUUCCGGGGCUCAACCCCGGAGCUGCAUUUGAAACUUUAUGGCUAGAGUUCAGUUAGGGUAAACGGAAUUCCACGUGUAGCGGUGAAAUGCGUAGAUAUGUGGAAGAACACCGGUGGUGAAGACGGUUUACUGGGCUGAAACUGACGCUGAGGCGCGAAAGCAUGGGGAGCAAACAGGAUUAGAUACCCCCGUAGUCC
rnacentral:rRNA from 1 species